rnacentral:rRNA from 1 species
CAAUUGAAGAGUUUGAUCAUGGCUCAGACUGAACGCUGGCGGCAUGGCUAAAGCAUGCAAGUCGAACGUGCCCGCAAGGGAAAGUGGCGGACGGGUUAGUAAUGAGAUCGAACGUACCCCGGGGUGGAGGAUAGGGCGGGGAAACUCGCCGUAAUACUCCAUGAUGUCGAGAGACCAAAGGUUACGCCCUGGGAUCGGCGAUCUUCCUAUCAGGUAGUUGGCGGGGUAAAGGCCCACCAAGCCGAAGACGGGUAGCGGGUGUGAGAGCACGACCCGCAACAUCGGAACUGAGACACUGUCCGGACUCCUACGGGAGGCUGCAGCAACGGAUCUUCCGCAAUGGGCGAAAGCCUGACGGAGCAAUGCCGCGUGUGGGAUGAAGUACCUCUGGUAUGUAAACCACUGUCAGGAGGCAAAAACACUGAUUGCCUCCAGAGGAAGUGGCGACUAACUCUGUGCCAGCAGUCGCGGUAAGACAGAGGCCACAAGCGUUAGUCGGAAUCACUGGGCUUAAAGGGUGCGUAGGCGGUCUUUCAAGCGUCCUGUGAAAGCCUCCGGCUCAACCGGAGAACAGCAGGGCGAACUGAAAGACUCGAGGUUGGUAGGGGCUCACAGAACAGUCGGUGGAGCGGUGAAAUGCGUAGAGAUCGACUGGAAUGCCGAUGGCGAAGGCGGUGAGCUGGGCCAAUUCUGACGCUGAGGCACGAAAGCGUGGGGAGCAAACAGGAUUAGAUACCCUGGUAGUCCACGCCGUAAACGAUGUAUGCUAGAUCGGUGCGGUUUUGACGCCGUAUCGGCCGACGCGAAAGCGAUAAGCAUACCGCCUGGGGAGUACGGUCGCAAGGCUAAAACUCAAAUGAAUUGACGGGGGCUCACACAAGCGGUGGAGCAUGUUGCUUAAUUCGAGGCAACGCGAAGAACCUUACCUGGGCUUGACAUGGCCGGAUUAGUCCCAUGAAAGUGGGAGUAGGCCCGCAAGGGUACAACGGUCACAGGUGCUGCAUGGCUGUCGUCAGCUCGUGCUGUGAAGUGUCGGGUUAAGUCCCUUAACGAGCGCAACCCUUGUCGUUAGUUGCUCGGCGCAAGCCAGUACUCUAGCGAGACUGCCGGUGUCAAACCGGAGGAAGGUGGGGAUGACGUCAAGUCCUCAUGGCCCUUACGCCCAGGGUUGCAAACGUGCUACAAUGGCGCGCACAAAGCGAUGCGAGGUCGCGAGACGGAGCAAAUCGCAAAAAACGCGCCCCAGUUCGGAUUGCAGGCUGCAACCCGCCUGCAUGAAGUCGGAAUCGCUAGUAAUCGGAGAUCAGCUACGCUCCGGUGAAUGUGUUCCUGAGCCUUGUACACACCGCCCGUCACGUCAUGGGAGCCCGGGGUGCCCGAAGCCGCCACAUUUCAGUGGUGUCUACGGCAAGACGGGUGACUGGGACGAAGUCGUAACAAGGUAGCCGUAGGAGAACCUGCGGCUGGAUCACCUCCUUUCUAAGG